GUUUGCAAGCCACUUUCUCUUCCAUAUCCCCCCCAAGGUGACUGAGAAAUGGAACGAGGGAAAACCCAUCCGACCAUGCCGGUAACGUCGAUGCCGACAACGACAUGACGGUUAACCUGACGUGGUUAUUUGCACCAUUUGUGUUGAACCCGAAACCCGUUUAUUGUAGAGAUGAAUAUGAAAUGGAAGGAGGCAACUCCGACAGUGGCAACAUCGAUUCCGGCAACAACAUGGGUAACAUUUCUUCUUCAUAAUUUUGAUAUGUCCAGAUGAAUAUACUCUAGAUUUUCCUCCCUGGCAGUAUUGUCCAGAUGAAUAUAUCCUAUGCAAAAUCCAAAUUUGGUUGUCUAUACUCUAAAGAGAAAUAUAGUAUUAACAGAGACUCGGCUGUAGUCAUAAUUUUUUUGAAUUAAAUGAUGGAAAUUUCUGUUUUGUUUUGGUUUAUUUUUUUAGUACUAAGCAGCCAUCUUUUUAAAGCAGUUGGCCAUGUGAUUCUUCUGUUAUAUCAAUUAUUUGUAUUAACUUAAUAAUAAUUUUCUAGGUUUUUGUGAGUUGAUAAGAACAUUAACUUGUGAUCAUCUCAAUAACUGCUCAUAUUUUUUGCCUUGUGUUUAUGAAAGGAGGAUUGGAUAGUACAUUAUAGAAGGAAGAAAAAGAAGUAUGUGUUUAAAUUUUACAACAGCUCUAUAGUUUUCCUCACCCAAAAAAAAAAAAUAAUAAUAAUAAUAAUAAUAAUAAAAUACAGAUUUAUUAAGCAUUAUUGAAACUUUUGUUUAUCAAUUAUUAUCACCCGUGAGGGUGCCAAAGUUUCAAUAGAUUGCUUGAUUUUGAGUGACCAUCCUUUCGAACAUUGGUGGUGUAUCUGUCAUUAUACACACUCUUAAGCUCUCUUCAUUCACAUUUUUUUAUUCGUAAUGUACAAGCAGUAAUUUGAUUGUUGUUCCUCUUGUAGAAAUUUCAUUGACAAAGUCUGAGGGUUAAGACUGGGUGAAGGAGAUGCUCUUGCAAUACAAGCGUAUUUUACAAAGAUGCAAGCAACAAGUCUUAGUUUCUUCUUUAGCAUAGACUUGAAUGAUGAGGCCCAGCUGCGAAACAUGCUCUGGGCAGAUAACAGGUGUAGGCAAGCGUGUAAGGAAUUCGGUGAUAUAGUUACAUUUGACACCAUGUACUUGACUAACAAGUACGAGAUGCCUUUCGCUCCUUUUUGUUGGGAUAAAUCAUCAUGUACAAUCAACUCUACUUGAAUGUGGCUUGCUCUCAAAUGAAGACACGAAGACUUUAGUAUGGCUAUUUGGAACCUGGCUUGAAUGUAUGUAUGCUCAAGCUCCAUCUGGAAUAAUUACAAAUCAAGAUCGUGUUAUGCAAAAUGCAACUGAAAUCAUGUUCCCGAACACAAAGCAUAGAUGGUGCCUGUGGCAUAUUUUGAAAAAGUUACCAGAAAAAAUUGGGGGCCAUAGACAUAAAACUUCAAUUCUUAUUACUGUACAUGCGUUGGUAUAUGAUGUGCAAAGUUGCGAGAAAUUUGAACAAGGAUGGAGUAAGAUGCUCGAUGAUUAUGAAUUGUUAGAACAUGCUUGGUUGACCGGCCUAUACAAUGAAAGAAGUAGAUGUGCCAUGCUUUUUGAAAACAUCACUUUGGGCCGGUAUGCCAACCACGAAACUGAUUGAAGGUAUUAAUGCGUUUUUUGAUGGCUAUGUUCAUUCCAAAACAUCUCUAAAGCAAUUUAUAGAGCAAUAUGAGUGUACAUUGAGAAAUAAAGUUGAAAAUGAGUUUCAAGCAAUCAUUUUCACAAAAGGACCCAUGUGCGACAAGGUAUGAAAUGGAGAGACAAUUCCAAUCAGUUUAUACAAUUGCGAUGUUCAAGGAGUUUCAAGAUCAAUUUACUGGAUAGGUGUACUAUGAAGUCUAAGGACUUCAUGAGACGUAUUUGCAUACUACGUACGAUGUAUGUGAGGACAUUAUUCUGAACAACUGUAUGAAGACAAAAAUCAUUAAAGUGUGCUUUCGUAGAGAUGAAUGCGAGUUUGAGUGCAGUUGUCACCUGUUUGAGUUUAGAGGAAUUAUUUGCAAGCACGUAGUAACGAUUUUGAUUCGAAACCAAGUGAACUUAGUUCCCGAGAAGUACAUCUUGAAGAGAUGGAGAAAGGAUGUGAACAGAUUGUAUAUGAGGGUUCCGAUUACUUAUGAUGGUUGGAUUAGUACUCCAGACCAAGUUAGGUAUGAGCAAAUGUGCAAUGUGUUUGCGAAGUUAGAGGACUUGGUAGCACAUGACGAGUCACGAUCACGUGGUAGCUUGGACUGGAUUGAAAUCCAAACAAAUGAUUCUUCAAUGUUGAAGUAUAGUAGCGUGAGCUCUCGACGCUUGGCUGAAGCCGAAAAGUGUGGUAGCAGAAUCAUCUUGGACCUGAAAUACACAAAAAGCAAGGGAGCUCCUAAAAAACUUCUCCGAAAGGGAUAUCUAGAAGCUGGUUCUAGGAAAUCAAAAAUCUAUCCUGAGGUAUGAUUUCGAGAGAAAUUGUUUAUUUUGAUAAUCACUAUACAUAUUGAAUUGAGUGUGUUCUCCAUAACUUAUAGAUGGCACCAAACUCGACUGCAUCGAGCUGACAAAAAGACAAAAAAGCUUCAUCCUCAUUAAAUGUUCAAGUAUUUCAGCAUGAGAUUAAUAUAACACCAACUUAGCUUGUUUCAUCCCCAUUAUUUGACAAAAAUAUCAAGAUAGAAAAAAAUGUCAAGAUAGAUAUACAGCCCCUGUUUCAUCCCCAUUCUUCGAAAAAAAAUUGUUGAUAUUUUUAUUUCCAUUUAUCUGUGUUACAAGUUUGCUAGUGAUGUGGUUUACUCUUCACUUAAAAUAUGGUUUACUAGUGUCUUUACAAGCUAAUCUGGUUUACAAGUUUACAAGCUUACAAUAUAAAAAAUAAUUAUCUGUCUUACAAGUUCGAUACAAAAAAUAAUUUCCAAGUAAUAUUUUUACAUAUAAAAAAAUUUAUCUUAUCUCAAAUUUAUUUUUAUUUUCAGCAUAAAAGAUUUGCUUCGGUUUAUGGUUUGAAAUUUCAUGUUCAUGAUAUAAAUUUACCAAUAUUUUGAGAUGCAGUUAACUCUUAUAUUUGUUAUUUGUUGUCUUAUGUCAGUCUUCUACCUCUGAGUUUCAUAUUUAAUUAAUGAAAAUAUUUUGAAAAGUUUGUGAAUGAUAUUUGCAAUUCCAUGGUUGGUAGGAGGUUGGCACACAGGAGAGCAUUGGAGAUUUUGAUGUAGGGGUUUAAAAUUCUAGCAGAUUUUGAUGUAGGGGUUGUUUUUUCCUUCCCAGAUUUUGAUGUAAUAUUUUAUGUGACCGUAUGGUUUAAUGUCUGAAUACUAUCUUCUUUCGAGGAACUUUAUUGUUCUUGAAAUGCUGAAAAUUGAAG
rnacentral:lncRNA from 1 species